AUAAACUGUUUGCAAAAUGACUUGAUGCGCCCAUUCGACCCUCCACGCGUCUCCAACAGCAAAAUACCUGAAAAUGUUUAAUAUGGGAUGAGCACACAUUGUAUACUCAGUGUGGGAACAUGCAAUUAUUGUCCACGUUAAUAAAAUGGUAACACAUAUGAUCGUAACAUUCAUAACUGAAAGUCGCACGGUGGCAUACCAAGGACCUUUCCGUCCUGGACCGAUUCAGCCGGCCCCUGGCGACUGGUUGCAACCAUAACUUUAACAUGUAAAUCGCAUUGUGGCAUACCAAGGACUGUGACGUCCUGGACCCAUUCAACGGACCCCUAGCGAUAUAUAAUUUAACUCACAUAUUGCAAACACAUAAUAUUAAAAUGGACAACAAUUAACCACAUCAUGUACUUAAAUAAAUCCCCCGCCUGAAAAUUUAACUUGAACUUCAACUUCAACUUGAAUGCUAACUUGAGUAAUUCAAUUAAAAUUCACAUCCUAGUCGCGCCGCACCUAGUCAGAUAAAUUCAAAUAAUAAAAUGUAAGGACCUAAAUGUGCUUAGAAAUAAUUUAAAACUUGAGAAUUUCUUUUAUAAAAUCAUUAAAAUCCUUAGUCCAAAAUAAAUAAAGAUAUUUUCUUAUAAAUAUUUAGCUUUAUUAGAUUUAAAAACUAAGCUCAAAUUAAAAUCUUAUCUCAGAUCCAAAAUUUAAUACUUCCUCCGUCCGCCAAGAUUAUGUAAAAAUUACUAUAUUUGGCGUCCGCCAAGAUUAUGUCACUUUCCUUUUAUGGCAAUGGUCCCACCAUCCUCUUUCAUAUUUUAUUCUUACUAACACUCUUUAUUUACAAAAAGCCCACUCAAAAUUCAAUCUCAACCACACAUCUUAUAAAGUGGUGGGACUCUUUCUCCACUACAUCAAAAUCAUCACAAAUUUUAUUAAAUCUCGUGCCCAAGCACUUUUACAUAAUCUUGGCGGACGGAGGGAGUAAAAAACUGAAGCCCAAAGAUCUAGUUAUAUUAAAGCAAACUUCAGCCCAGCCAUAGAAUUAAAGUUGAAACCCAAACUUAAAGCCCAAUACCUUUCCUCUUUCUCUCUCUUUUAACACGCACAGCAGCCUCCUUCCUUCCUUACUUCUUCUUCUUCUUCUUCUCCUCCUCCUUCCUUUCUCUUUCAACCCCUCGCCCCCUCUCUUUGAAUCCGACGCCGCCGCCACCUCCGGCGAAUCCGCCGUCGUCGUCUCAUCUCUCGGCCCUCCCUAUCUCUCCUUCACAGAACACGCACACCAAGACAUGUCCAAACCCUUCUCCCUCUCUCUUCCUCCUCUCGCCUACACCGCCUACCACGCUCCGGCGGGCAGCCACGGCGAUUGCCGCCGUCACGCCUGCCGCCUCCUGCUCCAGCCCGGCGUCGCCCCUCAUCUCCUCUCUCCCCUGUUUCCACGGCCGGACAGCGCCAGCGGUAGCACUGCCGUGACAGCAGCGGCGCCGCCUGCGGCUUCGUCGACCACCAUCAUACAGCCGCCGCAACUCCUUAUUUUCUUCUCUUAGCUUACCCCCUGGUUCAGCCCCUCAAUUCCCAAUCAAUAAAAAUGUUUUCUUUUCUGUAACAUAGUCUUAUUCUACUUCUUCUUGCUUCUAAAUUUGUUUUCAAUUUCGAUGAGUUUAAACAAAUGAAAUUGUUGAGGGCAUCAGAUUAUGUAUGGGCGUGUGUGUUUUCCUUAACAGAAGUUUGGUGUUUGAUUUGAGAAUAAAAAUGAUCUGUGAGAGGCAUAUUGUUGGGUUUCUGCAUAAGCUAUGAAUGAGGUAGCUUGUGUGAUGAAAUAAAAGAAUGAAGGUUUCAACGAGAUAAAGAAAUUACCGUUUGGGCUUCGCAGGAAAAGAACUGAAGUAAGGGUUUUGCUGAUCGAGGUCAAAGCUUGACAAAUUUUUAGCAAAAAAUGAGAAUUGCUCAAGCUGAGGAGGAAUUUUAAAGAUGAUGAUGAAUAUUUGAAUGAUGGCUGAUAUAAGGGACGAGUGUGUGGCUGGAGCAGAAUAUAACA
rnacentral:lncRNA from 1 species